rnacentral:rRNA from 1 species
GGAAUAUUGGACAAUGGGCGAAAGCCUGAUCCAGCCAUGCCGCGUGGAUGAAGAAGGCCCUAGGGUUGUAAAGUCCUUUCAACGGUGAAGAUAAUGACGGUAACCGUAGAAGAAGCCCCGGCUAAUUUCGUGCCAGCAGCCGCGGUAAUACGAAAGGGGCUAGCGUUGUUCGGCAUUACUGGGCGUAAAGCGCACGUAGGCGGCCAUGUAAGUUGGGGGUGAAAUCCCGGGGCUCAACCCCGGAACUGCCUUCAAAACUACAUAGCUAGAGGAUGCGAGAGGAUAGUGGAAUUCCGAGUGUAGAGGUGAAAUUCGUAGAUAUUCGGAAGAACACCAGUGGCGAAGGCGACUGUCUGGCGCAUUUCUGACGCUGAGGUGCGAAAGCGUGGGGAGCAAA